GCAUUGGUGGUUCAGUGGUAGAAUUCUCGCCUCCCAUGCAGGAGAGCCAUGUCCGAUUCCCGGCCAAUGCA
rnacentral:tRNA from 1 species